rnacentral:tRNA from 1 species
GCCGCAUUCGUCUAAAGGUCAGGACGCUAGCCUCUCACGCUGGAAAUAGGGGUUCAAUUCCCCUAUGCGGUACCA